AGCGGAGGAAAAGAAACCAACAGGGAUUGCCUCAGUAACCGUUCGAUAUUUCCCAAUAGCGGAGGAAAAGAACCAACAGGGAUUGCCUCAGUAACGGCGAGUGAAGCGGCAAGAGCUCAACUUUGGAAUCGCUCCGGCGAGUUGUAGUCUGGAGGUGGCCACCACGAGGUGUUCUAGCAGCAGGCAAGUCCUUUGGAACAAGGCGCCAGCGAGGGUGACAGCCCCGUACCUGCUUUUGCUAGUGCUUCCUGUGGCCCACCGACGAGUCGAGUUGUUUGGGAAUGCAGCUCUAAGUGGGUGGUAAAUUCCAUCUAAGGCUAAAUAUUGGCGAGAGACCGAUAGCGAACAAGUACAGUGAUGGAAAGAUGAAAAGCACUUUGAAAAGAGAGUGAAACAGUACGUGAAAUUGUUGAAAGGGAAGGGCUUGCACCCAGACACGGUUUCGGCCGGGCCAGCAUCAAGUAGAACGGGGUUAAAAGACUUGGGGAAUGUAGCUACUUCGGUAGUGUUAUAGCCCUUGGUGAUGACCCCUGUUUGCUGAGGACA
rnacentral:rRNA from 1 species